rnacentral:lncRNA from 1 species
AGGUUCCACACCAACCCAGAAGAGAAACGGUGCUGCCUGUAAUUAGAGCAGAGGUGGUGGGAGUGUGACAGGCUGGAGGGAACACAGAGGAAUUCAGGGAAGCAGGAGGCAAGACAGCUGCUGAGUGCGAGGGGACGGCGGAGGCAGGAGCAGCUGUGGAGAAGCUGCCGUGGGAAGGAAGAUCAUUGGCCAGGGAAACGUCUGGGAGCUGGGGAAGACAGAGAUCCUAGAUGGAGUGGGAAGUCACAGAGCUACGGCAUCCUGAAUUUGCAGAGCGGCGUGUUUUCCGGGAGAACUCAUCAGCCUAUGUGUAGACACUGGAAAAAGCAGACAGUUGGAUUUAGCUGUGAUCCCAGUGACCACAGAGGGGGCAAAGAAAGUGCAUCAUCUCACACAACAUCACCAGGCGGUCCUUCCCCAGCAGCAAGGGAAACGCUUUAGUGGAGGGACAGUGGCCAAGUUUAUAUUUGUCAAUGUCAAGCUGAAAGCUCUCUA